rnacentral:rRNA from 1 species
GGUUCUGGCAUUUAUCACCCUGCCCAUGUGACGUUACCAACUGUUGCCUCGGCGGGUUCUCUGCCCCGGGUGUGUCGCAGCCCCGGACCAAGGAGCCCGCCGGAGGACCUGCAAAACUCUUAUUGUAUACCCCCUCACAGGUUUUUUUAUAAUCUGAGCCUUAUCGGCGCCUCUCGACCGUUUGGGAAUGAGAGAAACAGGGAAAAGAGUGGGCGAGACGAGAGCGUUGAAGAACCAUGUAAAUGCGAUAAGUAAUGUGAAUUGGGAAUUCAGUGAAUCAUCAAAUCUUUGAAUUCACAUUGCGCCCGCCCGAAUUCUGACGGGCAUGCCUGUCCGAGCGUCAUUUCAACCCUCGAACCCCUCCGGGGGGUCGGCGUUGGGGAUCGGCCCUGCCUUGGCGGUGGCCGUCUCCGAAAUACUUUUUUAGUCUCGCCGCAUCCUCUCCUGCGCGCCUUUUGCACACUCUGAUCGGGACCCCGGCGCGUCCACAGCCGUUAAACACCCAACUUCUGAAAUGUUGACCUCGGAUCGAGUAGGAAUACCCGCUGAACUUCAUCAUAUCGAUAACCGGAGGAA